ACACGUGGUGUACCACUUGUGUUACGGGCAUAAGGAAAAAUUUCUUCAAUAUGACAUGCAAGCCAAAGAAAUUGGAUGGAGAGCUACAUUCAAUUAUUGUAGGUAUGUAAAAAUGUGAGGGAAUUUUAAUUUGGUAAUUGAAAACAGCUUUCUAAAUAUAAUUACUGAUGACAUAAUCUUCUCAAGGUUUUGAUCUAAAGAAUCAUUUCUGGGUUCAUCAUUUUCGACACAAUGCGUGUUUUUAUAGGACCAGAAAGGAUAUAAGUUUCAAACCUUAUGAAACUGGACCAAGAACUAUACAAUAUUUAUGAAACAUGACAAAGAACUAGGCACUAUUUAUGAAAGUAGACUAAUAACUAAACACUAUUUAUGAAACCAGAUCAAGAAAAAGAUACUAUUUAUGAAACUAUAUUAAUUACUAUACACUAUUUAUGAAAUUGGACUCAAUAACUAGGCACUGUUUAUUAAACAUGAUCAAGAACUAGCACAAGAAUUAAACACCAUUUAUGAAACUGGACCAAUAAAUAGUGUAGUACCGUUCAGUUUGAUAAAUAGUGUUUUAGUUUCAUAAAUAGUGUUUAAUUUCUUAAAUAGUGACUAGUUUCAUAAACAGUGUCUGCGAUAGAUGCAUGUUAGGUUUUUUUUUUUAAUUUUUUUAUUCAAAUUGUGUCAUUUUCAUUAAAAUUUAAGUUUUUUGUCAUUUUUAUUAAAAUUUAAGGGUUUUUCAUUAAUAUUUAAUUAUUUUUCAUUAAAUAAAGUAUAGCAUGAUUUUUUGUUAAAAUAAACUUAGCUCAAACCCUUUUCAUGAAAGCUCCCUAUAAAUAAAUGGUGACUGCUACAAUAGAUACUGCGCACAAAACCUUUAAUGAAGCUACCAUUCGCAUUGGAUAGACCGCACCAACCCCACCAUUUGAUACAACACAUCACAAAAGGGGAAAUAUAGCAUGAACUGGGGCAAUGCUAUAUCCAGUUCAUGCUAUAUUGGAUCCAAUGUUCACUUGUUGCUAGAUAAUAUCUCUGGAGUUGUUUAGACUUGAGUUGUCUGUGUAAACCCUUUGAGUUGAUGUUUUCUUUUAUUUAGCGUGGCUUAGGCCCCGUUUUAACAGAAAUAAAUAAACUUUGAAGUCAUAUGCUAAUAAAUAUAGAGCGGUUGGCAUAGGAUGGAUGGUUUCAGUGCAUGAAUUUCAAAAGUUUCAAUGAUGGUAAAGAAAAGGGACAACUUCUAUAUAUGUUCUUCGCUAGUUGUCUUACAUUUGAGUAGGUUAGGUCAUCUCCAACCGAUUCGGUUAAAGGGCCAUAGGGCUAAAAAUAGCCCGAAAUGACAAGAAAACCGUCUCCAACCUAGGGCUAGGCCAAAUGGCU
rnacentral:lncRNA from 1 species